rnacentral:rRNA from 1 species
GAUGAACGCUGGCGGCGUGCCUAACACAUGCAAGUCGAGCGAAAAGGCGCGGCUCUUGCUGCUUGCACGUUGGCGGCGGGCGGGUGAGUCACCCGUGGAUACCCUCCCUCUCAGACUGAGUUCUCUUCGGCCCAGCGGAGAUCACAGCGGCUCAUCUAUUGCACCGCAUGGUUCAUUAGAGAUUGCCGGUUUUGCUGUCACGUAUCGCUGUUUCCUCGCCGCAUUAGCUAGUUGGUAAGGUAACGGCUUACCAAGGCUACGAUGCGUAGCCGACUGGACAGGGGGAUAGGCCACCCUGGAACUGAGACACGGCCCAGACUCCUACGGGAGGCAGCAGUAGGGAAUCUUCCGCAAUGGGGGAAAGCCUGACGCAGCGACGCCGAGUGUGAGAUGAAGGCCUUCGGAUCGUAAAACUCUGUUAGGAGGGAAGAACAAAUGUGUAAUUAACCAUGCACGGAUUGACGGUACCUAAUCAAAAAGCCACGGCUAACUACGUG